AGCGAACGCUGGCGGCAGGCCUAACACAUGCAAGUCGAACGAACUCUUCGGAGUUAGUGGCGGACGGGUGAGUAACACGUGGGAACGUGCCUUUAGGUUCGGAAUAACUCAGGGAAACUUGUGCUAAUACCGAAUGUGCCCUUCGGGGGAAAGAUUUAUCGCCUUUAGAGCGGCCCGCGUCUGGUUAGCUAGUUGGUGAGGUAAAGGCUCACCAAGGCGACGAUCAGUAGCUGGUCUGAGAGGAUGAUCAGCCACAUUGGGACUGAGACACGGCCCAAACUCCUACGGGAGGCAGCAGUGGGGAAUCUUGCGCAAUGGGCGAAAGCCUGACGCAGCCAUGCCGCGUGAAUGAUGAAGGUCUUAGGAUUGUAAAAUUCUUUCACCGGGGACGAUAAUGACGGUACCCGGAGAAGAAGCCCCGGCUAACUUCGUG
rnacentral:rRNA from 1 species